AAAGAUUCGGGCGAUUGGGGGGAAGCCCAUCUCUGUACAAUGACUGCCAAAUGUGCAUGCAACUGUGCAAUGCCCAGCGACUGUAAAAGCAUGAAGUAUUGUACGACACAUCCUUUACAAAUAUUUGGACAUAUUUUGUGUAAUAUCCAUUUUUUUCCGGUUAUUCUAAAUAAUUAUUACCGAUUAGAUAUUCUGUCAAGUGUCAAUAUUACCAUUGUAAGUUUAAUGAUAUAUACCAUUUUUAUAAUAGGCCCUAUGACAAUGGACUGGAAAAUUCACCUGCUUCAAUUCCCUCUUUCACGCAAUCAUACACUGUGUCAUUUCAAGCAUCUCAAUGUUUCAAUGCGGACAAUGCCCAAAACAGAGAUCAAGCCAUGCUCCAAUCCAGUCCAUGGAAAAAUUGUUGGGACAGGCGGUAGAAACUCUUAUGCUACAAGCUACGGCAUCUGCAACUUUCCACUGAUUAUAGUGUGGACUCGGACAUACAGGAAUUGAUGAAAUUCAUUGUCUGAUUACAUUUUGAUCCAGAAUACAUUCAAGGAUGAAAAAAUGGCUCCUCUGGAUGAUCUGGCAACG